CUUUGAAGUAAGACAAACCUGGCAGGAAUUUUUUGAGAAAUUUGUGAUAAAAUAAAAUGAAAAGUAAAUUUCAACUAUUUGAUAGGAAAUGACAUGUGGAAUACUUAAUGCAACUGACGACAUGGUAAACAAGACCACUUCCAGUUUCACCAGCACUAAUGUCCUAUCUGGCCGGAAGGACUUGUUGGACAUGUCCUUAAAACGCGUAACAUGGCUAACAUAUCAAAAGUCUUCGAUAAGUCAAGACCCACGCGCACCGUCCUAUGGCAUCGCUUCACAUGUUGCAGAUCUCUGUUAAUAUGUGUAGAGAUUGCGUCCAAAGCAUACUUCGCGCUAAGCAAAUGCAAAUUUUGC
rnacentral:sRNA from 1 species